rnacentral:rRNA from 1 species
AACGAACGCUGGCGGCGCGCCUAAUACAUGCAAGUCGAGCGAGAAGACGUAGCAAUACGUUUGUAAAGCGGCGAACGGGUGAGUAACACGCGGGUAAUCUGCCCUCGAUUCUGGGAUAGCCCGGGGAAACCCGGAUUAAUACCGGAUAGCCUCUCGAGCUUACGAGCUCUUGAGAAAAGGUAGCUUCGGCCUCCGAUCGAGGAUGAGCCCGCGGCGGAUUAGCUAGUUGGUGGGGAAUGGCCUACCAAGGCAACGAUCCGUAGCUGGUCUGAGAGGACGAUCAGCCACACUGGGACUGAGACACGGCCCAGACUCCUACGGGAGGCAGCAGUGGGGAAUCUUGCGCAAUGGGCGAAAGCCUGAUCCAGCGAUGCCGCGUGUGUGAAGAAGGCCUGCGGGUUGUAAAGCACUUUC